GGGUCUUUUGAGAAGGACAUAGAGCUGUGGGACUGAGGGACAAUACUCCAAGCAUCAUACAGAUUGGGACUCCCACAAAAAGAGAACACACAUGUUGGAGAAUGUAGGAUGUCAGAGUUUUAAGGGGAUGAGAGGUAUUUUACUGAAGAUAUCAUCAAGAGGCUACAAAACAAGAAAAAUCUACGGACACAUGCUCCCUUACUCCAGCAGAGAAGAAUUUCUGUGUGAGUUCUGGCUAUGCUGUAGAAGGAACACUGGCUUAUCCCCUUUCCCCAGGAAAGCAUAAACCAAGACUGUCACCAGAACCAGAUUCAUGCUAUUCUGCAAAAGAACCAUAGUUAAGAAACCCAUUUCUCCUGUCUCCCAAUAAUGAGGCUUAAAGACUGGUUUCUCCAAAGACCCAUGGAAAAGAACUGUGGCAUAGAUCCAAGGUUAAGGAUAUGCUUUAAGGGCAGAACACACAAACCAACAUCCAAGAGGGAAGCUGCAGCAGAAUUACUGAACCGUGGAAUCAUUGCUCCCUCACCCACCUACUACUUGCUCCCAAAGAGAUUCACAACUAGAGAGAGAAAAGAAAACUAA
rnacentral:lncRNA from 13 species